AUGGACGUCCUUCGCUGGCCCGGCGGAGCGCGCGUGAACCUCUGGCUCCGCCGGGCGAUGGAGCUGGUGGUGAAAUCCCUGCACCUUUCCAUCUCGCUGCCGCUGUGGAGCGACCAGAUCCCCAAGGACUGCAAGGUGCGGCUGCCUCGCUGCACGAGGGCGGCGGAGAUGCUGCUCGACCUAGACUACGCCAUCCUCAGGCUCCCGGCCGUGGUAGAGUUCAACGCGCUGACUGACCUGUCCCUCCGUGUCAUAUCACUCUCGCGAGGAGACGGCCGCCGCCUCGGCCGCCUCCUGUCGUCGACGUGCUGCCCGAGGCUGCAGAAGCUGGAACUCUUUUACGUGUGCGGGCUGCGGGAGCUGCAGCUCGACGCGAGAGCGCUAGAGACCCUGACGCUGUACGAGCUCGCCGACCUGAGGCGGCUGGACCUGGACACGCCGCGGCUUUCUUCCUUGGAGGUCGGUAGCUCGGUGCUGCGCCGCGAUCCCUCCAACUUCACCAUCCGGGCGCCGGCGCUGGAGCAGCUUCAGUGCUCCCUCAUGCCCUAUCCACGAGAGAUCGAGAUUCAGUAUAGGUUCAACAUCCAACUGCUGCAAAGUUGCACCUCCGUCCGUCGCCACAUCGUCGAGCUCCAUGUUCCACAGGAUAUGGACCUAAAUGAAGGAGACAAUGUAAUGGUAGAAAUACCACCAGUCCCUCAUGUCACAAAUCUGAAACUGGAUUUCCGGCCACGGAACAACCAUAUUUUUGGAGCAUGUGUAUCUAGCAUCCUUGCGCGAUACAGCAAUCUUCAACACCUCAGCCUAGGCAUCAGCAAAUUUUACCUUGAUCGGUGUGGGGAGGGGUGCUGCAUAUGCGGACGUGUAGGGAGCUGGAAGGAGGACAAGAUCUCACUAGAUCAUCUUCACGAGGUGGAGUUCAGUGGCUUCUCUGGACAGGAGUGCCAUGACAUGGCACACUUGUUAAUCCUGAAUUCACAAGCGCUCCAGAGAAUGACUGUGAUUGUUGAGGCAUCUAGAGAGAUCUCAUGUGACGAUAGUUUAGAUGAUGAAAGCCCACCGCAGCAGAGAACGACCAUGGAUACAUCGAUGUUGACGCUUCCACGCCCUAGAGGGAAGUGGAGCUCACGCGCUCCGGCUAAUGAGGCAACAUUAGAGUAUGAGUGGACGCCAGAGCCAUGA
rnacentral:rRNA from 1 species